CGCAAGAGGGCAAACCCAGUGCUUGCACUGGGGGUUGUAGGACUGCAAUGUGCAAGAGCUGAGUUUAGCAGAACAUUCUGGAAAGUAUAGCCAUAGAGGGUGAUAGUCCCGUAUGCGAAAAACAAAGCUUAGCUAGCAGUAUCCUGAGUAGGGCGGGACACGAGGAAUCCUGUCUGAAUCCGGGUCGACCACGAUCCAACCCUAAAUACUAAUACCAGAUCGAUAGUGCACAAGUACCGUGAGGGAAAGGUGAAAAGAACUGAGGUGAUCAGAGUGAAAUAGAACCUGAAACCAUUUGCUUACAAUCAUUCAGAGCACUAUGUAGCAAUACAGUGUGAUGGACUGCCUUUUGCAUAAUGAGCCUGCGAGUUGUGGUGUCUGGCAAGGUUAAGCAAACGCGAAGCCGUAGCGAAAGCGAGUCUGAAUAGGGCGCUUAGUCAGAUGCUGCAGACCCGAAACGAAGUGAUCUAUCCAUGAGCAAGUUGAAGCUAGUGUAAGAACUAGUGGAGGACUGAACCCAUAGGCGUUGAAAAGCCCCGGGAUGACUUGUGGAUAGGGGUGAAAGGCCAAUCAAACUUCGUGAUAGCUGGUUCUCUCCGAAAUAUAUUUAGGUAUAGCGUUGUGUCGUAAUAUAAGGGGGUAGAGCACUGAAUGGGCUAGGGCAUACACCAAUGUACCAAACCCUAUCAAACUCCGAAUACCUUAUAUGUAAUCACAGCAGUCAGGCGGCGAGUGAUAAAAUCCGUCGUCAAGAGGGAAACAACCCAGACUACCAGCUAAGGUCCCUAAAUCUUACUUAAGUGGAAAACGAUGUGAAGUUACUUAAACAACCAGGAGGUUGGCUUAGAAGCAGCCAUCCUUUAAAGAAAGCGUAAUAGCUCACUGGUCUAGUGAUUUUGCGCGGAAAAUAUAACGGGGCUAAAGU
rnacentral:rRNA from 1 species